GGGGCUGACCGGUUUUGACAGGAGGCGGGUGUGGAUAUGCAGCAUGCAGGCUCAUGGAAUGAGAGCCUUAAAAGAUAGUUCCAACAAUUUAAUUGGCGAGACAAACUACGCCAUGGCUGCUUAAUCUGAUUUAGAAUCAGACAAGCUUAUUUCCCGAUAAGAUCGGGGAAAGCCAUCAUCGCCCGAUUGCUUGGUUCUGCGGCAACGGAUAAGCGGUGUCAUCAGCAAGGACAUGAAGUCGCGCGGUUGCGUCGCGGCUUCGAGAAAACAGCAACUAAGGAAAGAUUGAGGCUGCGAAUAGCCUUGUCGUUCACGAAAAAUAAAAUUCGCUAAGCAUGUAGCGGCUAUUUGCGCAACUUCUCUGGACCAGGGUUCGAUUCCCUGCAGCUCCACCU
rnacentral:tmRNA from 1 species